rnacentral:rRNA from 1 species
CGUAGGUGGCAAGCGUUUGUCCGGAUUUAUUGGGUUUAAAGGGUGCGUAGGCGGCCCUGUAAGUCAGUGGUGAAAUAUCUCAGCUUAACUGAGAGGGUGCCAUUGAUACUGCGGGGCUUGAGUACAGAUGAGGUAGGCGGAAUUGACGGUGUAGCGGUGAAAUGCAUAGAUAUCGUCAAGAACACCGAUAGCGAAGGCAGCUUACCAAGCUGUAACUGACGCUGAGGCACGAAAGUGUGGGGAUCAAACAGGAUUAGAUACCCUGGUAGUCCACACUGUAAACGUUGAUGACUCGAUGUUGGCGAUACACAGCCAGCGUCCAAGAGCAAUCGUUAAGUCAUCCACCUGGGGAGUACGCCGGCAACGGUG